rnacentral:rRNA from 1 species
CGGGGGGAGCAAGCGUUGUUCGGAUUUACUGGGCGUAAAGGGCGCGUAGGCGGCCACCGCAAGUCGACUGUGAAAUCUCCGGGCUUAACCCGGAAAGGUCAGCCGAUACUGCGGGGCUAGAGUGCAGAAGGGGCAACUGGAAUUCUCGGUGUAGCGGUGAAAUGCGUAGAUAUCGAGAGGAACACCUGCGGCGAAGGCGGGUUGCUGGGCUGACACUGACGCUGAGGCGCGAAAGCUAGGGGGAGCGAACGGGAUUAGAUACCCCGGUAGUCCUAGCCUUAAACGAUGAAUGCUUGGUGUCUGGGGGUUUUAUAGUCCCCGGGUGCCGUCGCUAACGCUUUAAGCAUUCCGCCUGGGGAGUACGGUCGCAAGACUG